rnacentral:tRNA from 1 species
GGGCGAUUGGUCUAGAGGUAUGAUUCGUGUUUCGGGUGGGAAAACCCUCACAUUUGUUGUGAAUAUACGAGGUCCCGGGUUCAAAUCCCGGAUCGCCCC